rnacentral:rRNA from 1 species
AGUGAUGAUAGCGGAGAGGAAACACCCGUUCCCAUCCCGAACACGGAAGUUAAGCUCUCCAGCGCCGAUGGUAGUUGGGGCCAGCGCCCCUGCAAGAGUAGGUCGUUGCUAGGCAAU